rnacentral:tRNA from 1 species
GCCUACAUGAUGUAGCGGUAGCAUGAGAGACUUAAUCUCUUCGUCUGGGUUCGACACCCAGUGUGGGCA